rnacentral:rRNA from 1 species
GGUUUUAUACCAGCCGCAGCAAAUAGGCCCAAACAACUGUUUAUCAAAAACACAGGUUUCUGCAAAAUCGUAAGAUGAAGUAUAGGGGCUGACGCCUGCCCAGUGCUGGAAGGUUAAAAGGAGGACUUAGCUUCGGCGAAGGUCUUAAUUGAAGCCCCAGUGAACGGCGGCCGUAACUAUAACGGUCCUAAGGUAGCGAAAUUCCUUGUCGGGUAAGUUCCGACCCGCAUGAAAGGCGUAAUGAUUUGGGCGCUGUCUCAACAAUAGACUCGGUGAAAUUUAAAUUCCAGUGAAGAUGCUGGGUACCCGCGACAGGACGGAAAGACCCCGUGGAGCUUUACUGUAGCUUGAUAUUGAAUGUUUGUGCUGCAUGUGCAGGAUAGGUAGGAGACUUUGAAGUCGGAACGCUAGUUUCGAUUGAGUCACCCUUGAGAUACUACCUCUGUUGUAUGAACGUUCUAACUCUGAUCAGUUAUCCUGAUCGAAGACAGUGUCUGGCAGGCAGUUUGACUGGGGCGGUCGCCUCCUAAAAGAUAACGGAGGCGCUCAAAGGUUUGCUCAGAAUGGUUGGAAAUCAUUCGUAGCGUGUAAAGGCAUAAGCAAGCUUGACUGUGAGACUGACAAGUCGAGCAGGUACGAAAGUAGGACUUAGUGAUCCGGUGGUUCCGUAUGGAAGGGCCAUCGCUCAACGGACAAAAGCUACCCCGGGGAUAACAGGCUCAUCUCCCCCAAGAGUCCACAUCGACGGGGAGGUUUGGCACCUCGAUGUCGGCUCAUCGCAUCCUGGGGCUGUAGUCGGUCCCAAGGGUUGGGCUGUUCGCCCAUUAAAGCGGUACGCGAGCUGGGUUCAGAACGUCGUGAGACAGUUCGGUCCCUAUCCGUCGUGGGCGCAGGAAAUUUGAGAGGAUCUGUCCUUAGUACGAGAGGACCGGGAUGGACAUACCUCUGGUGUACCAGUUGUUCUGCCAAGAGCACCGCUGGGUAGCUACGUAUGGAUUAGAUAAUCGCUGAAAGCAUCUAAGUGAGAAACUAACCUCGAGAUGAGAUUUCCCAUUCGUCAGAAGUAAGACCCCUGAGAGACGAUCAGGUAGAUAGGCUAGAAGUGGAAGUGUAGUGAUGCAUGGAGCGGACUAGUACUAAUAGGUCGAGGACUUAACCAAG